GCGCUCUGCUCCCAGCCAGCCUCCACCAGGAGGACAAAACUGUGUCGUUUCACUGUCCUUAUAAUGCACAGAGGAAAUAGGAUUAGGUCCAAAUAGCAGCAAGACGUUACAACCAAUAAACCACAGAACCCAGGGCCGGGGGUCCUAGAGGCAGACAACAGGGCCUUUGUCAGCGGAUCCCCGCGGACAGGAGCCCUCAGGCCCCGCGGAGCCCCAGCGCGGAGCUGGAGGUUUUUUGGUGGCUCCACUUCUCCUUGCUGUUCCCCCACCCCCGCCACGAUUUCCUUCGUUCUUCCCCUUGCCAGAUUCCACCCCCUGCCGCGGAAAACCCGCGCCCGGCCGCGCACCCAAUGCCCCCCUCCCUCCCGGCGGGCUGCCCCCCGCAAGGGGCCGUCGGUGCGGUGCGGAGGGAGCGGAGAGUGCGGGGCUCACCGCCCGCCCCGUCGGGCUGCGGGGUCCCGGGGGGCGGCACGACUCUGCCCCGCGGUAAACACGCGGUACCUCCUACUCCUCAUCCUCUUCCUCCUGCCCUCCAGGACACCCAGCCCCCGGCAUCGCCCGCAAGCCCCAAGCUCAGCAGCCCUCGACGGUGCCCGGCUGGGUCAGGUCCUGCCGUGGGGGAGAGAAACCACCCCAGAUUCCUGCUACCUGACGCUCUGCUAUGACAUCCCAACCCCACUGUGAUAUCCCAAUGCUUUUUUUUUUCUUUUUUUUUUUUUUUAAUUUCCCCCGAGAUGUAUAAUUUCACCACGGAGAAGACUUUUCUCCUAUUUUUUCGGACGGGGAAAGCUCCAUCCAAGAACACAUCUCCCUUUUUGUCUUGCUUAUUAGAUAUAAUUUAACAUAAAACGCCUGUUAUAAUUACUGAUUAUACAAGGGAUUCCUUGUUUUCACAAGCUACUAACAGGAUUAUCUAACAAGUGCUAGAUUUCAAAUUAACCAUAAACAUUACACUGGAAUUCAUUUCACUGCACUGGAAAAGAGGGAAGGAGUGGAUCUGGGGGUGAAGGCAAGGAGUGGUCCCAGGAGCCCUGAGCUCACCAAUACUUUCCCCUUUCCCAAGCUGUCCACACUGAGCAGAAGCAUUGUCCCUGUA